rnacentral:lncRNA from 1 species
AAAAGGACUGUAUAUUAAAUUUUUAAUUAAAUUUAAGAUUUAAAGGUAAAUUAAAGUACUAAAUUUUAACUUGGUUACUUGGAUCUUAAGGAGAAAAAAAAAAAAAAAAAAAAAAAAGGAAAGAGGAAACCUCCUCCAAGCUGACCGAGUCCCUCCCACCUUAUAUAUUAUCUUCUCCAUCUUCUGUGUUUCCACUUUUCUCAUCGAUUCUUCUCGAGUGCUCGGCUGAUCGAUUCGUCUUCCUUCUUCUGAAUCAAACGCGUUAGACAUUCUACUACUCAGGUUUGCUUCUUCUUCGCGUGUCGUCUCUGCAAUUAAACGUUCUUCUUUUUGCUUAGGGUUUCUUGUUCAUCACUGUUAUCUUCAAACUUCUGUGGCGAUCCAAGAAGAUAUAACCGCUCAAAUAGGGGUGAUGAGAUCUGUGCUCGAUUAUGUUUAUCCUUGGUGGACGUCAGUCGGAAUUCUUCUCUUCGGGUUCUUUUCAAUCUUGGAGGUUCUGUCGAUGAAUCUGCUGUUAACUGAGGAGAUGGAUUUCCGAGAGCUCGGGGGAAAACACGAUUCUUGUUAUCUGGGGAAUUUGAAGAUCUACAGUGACCGCUUAUGUUCGAUCACAAGUGAUCCUUUGGUUGUUUUUGAUCAAUAAUAUCAUGGUGAUUCUCCUUAAUGUUUGGGCGAGACUAUG